rnacentral:rRNA from 1 species
GCAAGUCGAACGGUAACAGCGGAAGCUUGCUUCCGGCUGACAAGUGGCGGACGGGUGAGUAACGCGUGGGAAUCUGCCUACUAGCGGGGGAUAGCCCGGAGAAAUCCGGAUUAAUACCGCAUACGCCCUACGGGGGAAAGCUGGGGAUCUUCGGACCUGGCACUAGUAGAUGAGCCCGCGUUGGAUUAGGUAGUUGGUGGGGUAAUGGCCUACCAAGCCGACGAUCCAUAGCUGGUUUGAGAGGAUGAUC